GUCCCACGGCGAAUCAUUCACAGUAUUCCAGAGCGGGAAAAAAUAAGAGAAGGAAAAAAGAAAGAAACAGAAGUGGCGAGACCAACGGGUAUUUUUUUCAUUGAAGUUCCAAGCCGUCACUGCUCUCACAACUCUCAGUCCCUUACUUUUGAACUUAAUUGCACAGACUCGUUCCCCUCUGCCUGCGCCGAGCCCCCCGAAGUCAAAGAACAGUGGUGGCAAUGUGUUUCAACUCCUGGCACGAAGAGAGGUUUCACCUUGAACGAAUAUCUCACCACAAGAAUCAUGAGGAGAAGCUUCUAAAUCUCGAUGUGAUUCCAUUGGGUCAAGGCAUGCAGUACAAGAUGCAAGGCAAGGUCUUGUCUCAUGGUAUGGUCUACAUUAUUUGUUGUGCUCGUGUAUAGCAAGGUUUUGUCUCAUGGGUGGAGGCAGAAUGUUGUGGCAUUUAUCAGCCAAAUAUUGUCCACUAUUGCCUCCUCCAAGGUCAACUAUUGCAGCAGCCUUCAGCUCCGAUGGAAGAACGGUUGCUUCUAUGCAGUUAGGUUUCAUCACUUAUAUCCUGAAAUACUUGUGAGUGGAAGUUUGGAUCAUGAAGUUUGUUUGUGGGAUGCUAAUACUGCAGAGUGUAUAGGAUCACGUGAUCUUUAUUGUCCUAUCGCUUCUAUUGCGUUCCAUGCACGGGGAGCUUCUUGCUGUGGCUUCUGGUCACAAGGUCAAUGACCUUGACUCAUCAGAUUUCUCAAAGACACUUGCAACUUCUCCAGGUUACUUGCAUUAUCCUCCACCCACUGUGUACUUGGCUGGUGCUCAUUCCAGUGGUCUUCCUUGUUUGGUAGAUGAACUUCCUCUCAUGUCUUCACACCUUUUGGUGUGGCCUUCAUUUGCCAAAGAUUAUGGGAGAACAUCUUUGCAGCCUACAUAUGGGGGCGAUGCAGGUUUGGCUAGUGUGCAACAGAGAGUGGAUCCUUCUGCUUCAGUGCGGCCUCUGAGAUAUUCCACUUUAUCAAGGUAGUAUGAACUUUUAUUUUCUCCUAUUGAUCCUAAUAACUCAUUACCUGUGCCAGAGGAUACGGGAAAUGAUUCUUUAAUGAGUGAAACAGAUGACGCGAUUCCUCAAUCUGCUAUGGAUGCCAUGGAGAUGGUGGAAAUGCAUCCUGAAGAGAGAAAUGAUCGCUUCUUUCCUUUUGGUGAUCCAAUGUAUUGGGAGCUACCUACCCACCCGUGGGUAGCCCAAGUGGUAAGGGCGAACUAUUAUGCAUAAGCCCCAUGUCACAGGUUUGAUUCCCCCUGGGAUCAAAUUGCGAUUUAAGUGGGAGGUCAUAGCGGUGGGUUGCUGUGCUAGUCUCCCCGGGUGUUUAGAUUCCAUGGGUGAGUCCUAAGGGCUCUGCUGUGGGGUGGUUCCCCUGCCAUUAAAAAAAAAAUGUAUUGGGAGCUACCUUUCUUGCAAGGGUGGUUAAUUGGACAGAGUCAAGCUGCGGAAUGCACCAUGGGCUCAGUCAAUGCUUCAGCCCAUGAGAGUUUAUCAACAUUUAGUGAAAUGAAAAAUCUUAUGGCUCCUUCAGUUAUGCUGAUCAGUGUCAGCCAAUCUAGAGUUACUGGAAGAUCUAGUUCCCAUCAGCAUUCUUUGCAUUCUCGCAUGAGGUCCAGAUUGGAUCCAAUGAAGGUUUUAACUUCAAUCACAUUCCAUGUGAUGGAAGUGAACUUGCAACCUUGAUGGCUGUUGUGGAGUUACCUUGCGCUGUGAAGCUAAGAAUACGGCCGCAUGAUGUUAAAGAUCCUUGUGCUCUUCUUGAAGCAGAAAAGUGUCUCUUAACUAUACCGCAUGCUGAACUUUGUGGUGAAAUGGGUGCUCAUUUUUCACCUUGUGGGAGAUUUUUAGCGGCCUGUGUUUGGCAUGUGUGCUGUCUCAUCUGGAAGCUGAUCCAUGAUUGCAAGGCCAGGUCCACAACAAAAUUACAGUGGCUGCAACAUCCCCACAGCAUCCAAUUUCAGCUCACGAAGUUCUAUAUGAGUUUCCGAUAUAUUCCCUCGAAGAGGCAACAUUUGGUUCAGUGCUUGCAUUACGGGCAAUACGGGCUGCCCAUUGAUUAACUUCAAUUCAGGUCUACAGAGUUUCUGUUUCUGAUAUGGAACUUGUGAGAGUUCUUCCUAGUGCUGAGGAUGAGGUCAACGUAGCCUGCUUUCAUCCAUCAGUUGGAGGUGGCCUGAUCUAUGGGACUAAGGAAGGGAAACUAAUUGGGAUCCUCCAGCAUGAUUGUUCUCAAACCACAAAUUGUGCAGCAUCUCGUUUUCUUGCUGAAAAAAAUCUCAAGGAAAUAACGAGGCGGCUCGAAUUGGAGAUGAUCUCCAGCUGCAGAUUUUGUCCUACGGUAAGCUCAAUCACUCCUUGGGAAGGUCCGAACUUGUCUUCCUUUUAUUUCGUGAA